AAAUUGAAGAGUUUGAUCAUGGCUCAGAUUGAACGCUGGCGGCAGGCCUAACACAUGCAAGUCGAACGGUAACAGGAAGAAGCUUGCUUCUUUGCUGACGAGUGGCGGACGGGUGAGUAAUGUCUGGGAAACUGCCUGAUGGAGGGGGAUAACUACUGGAAACGGUAGCUAAUACCGCAUAACGUCGCAAGACCAAAGAGGGGGACCUUCGGGCCUCUUGCCAUCGGAUGUGCCCAGAUGGGAUUAGCUUGUUGGUGGGGUAACGGCUCACCAAGGCGACGAUCCCUAGCUGGUCU
rnacentral:rRNA from 1 species